AGGGAAUCUUCGGCAAUGGACGAAAGUCUGACCGAGCAACGCCGCGUGAGUGAAGAAGGUUUUCGGAUCGUAAAACUCUGUUGUUAGAGAAGAACAAGGAUGAGAGUAAAAUGUUCAUCCCUUGACGGUAUCUAACCAGAAAGCCACGGCUAACUACGUGCCAGCAGCCGCGGUAAUACGUAGGUGGCAAGCGUUGUCCGGAUUUAUUGGGCGUAAAGCGAGCGCAGGCGGUUUCUUAAGUCUGAUGUGAAAGCCCCCGGCUCAACCGGGGAGGGUCAUUGGAAACUGGGAGACUUGAGUGCAGAAGAGGAGAGUGGAAUUCCAUGUGUAGCGGUGAAAUGCGUAGAUAUAUGGAGGAACACCAGUGGCGAAGGCGGCUCUCUGGUCUGUAACUGACGCUGAGGCUCGAAAGCGUGGGGAGCAAAC
rnacentral:rRNA from 1 species